rnacentral:rRNA from 1 species
GACGAACGCUGGCGGCGUGCUUAACACAUGCAAGUCGAACGGAAAGGCCCUGCUUUUGUGGGGUGCUCGAGUGGCGAACGGGUGAGUAACACGUGAGUAACCUGCCCUUGACUUUGGGAUAACUUCAGGAAACUGGGGCUAAUACCGGAUAGGAGCUCCUGCUGCAUGGUGGGGGUUGGAAAGUUUCGGCGGUUGGGGAUGGACUCGCGGCUUAUCAGCUUGUUGGUGAGGUAGUGGCUUACCAAGGCUUUGACGGGUAGCCGGCCUGAGAGGGUGACCGGCGACAUUGGGACUGAGAUACGGACCAGACUCCUACGGGAGGCAGCAGUGGGGAAUAUUGCACAAUGGGCGGAAGCCUGAUGCAGCAACGCCGCGUGCGGGAUGACGGCCUUCGGGUUGUAAACCGCUUUCGCCUGUGACGAAGCGUGAGUGACGGUAAUGGGUAAAGAAGCACCGGCUAACUACGUG